UAUGGAUACUAGAAGCUUGGUGAU
rnacentral:siRNA from 1 species